AAUCUUCCGCAAUGGGCGCAAGCCUGACGGAGCAACGCCGCGUGAGCGAAGAAGGUCUUCGGAUCGUAAAGCUCUGUCAAACAGGAAGAAGAGCCAUGAGAGGGAAUGCUCAUGGAGUGACGGUACUGUAAGAGGAAGCCCCGGCUAACUACGUGCCAGCAGCCGCGGUAAUACGUAGGGGGCGAGCGUUAUCCGGAAUUAUUGGGCGUAAAGGGUGCGUAGGCGGCCUUUUAAGUCAGGUGUGAAAGGCUACGGCUUAACCGUAGUUAGCAUUUGAAACUAAAAGGCUUGAGUGCAGGAGAGGAGAGUGGAAUUCCUAGUGUAGCGGUGAAAUGCGUAGAUAUUAGGAGGAACACCAGUGGCGAAGGCGACUCUCUGGACUGCAACUGACGCUGAGGCACGAAAGCGUGGGGAGCGAACAG
rnacentral:rRNA from 1 species